CCAAAUUGAUGAUGUGGCAUCCAUUUGUUUAGUGGACUUUGAUUUUGGGAGGGAAUCAUUCUAAAUAGCCAAAAUCUUAAAUCCACGCGGGAUCCGUUUUUGUUAGGGUCAUCCGAUACCCGUGUUUUUUGGAUACAUAUAAAAGCCACAGAGACAACUCACUCUCCUAUUUUCCCUGUAAACCUUAACCAAAAACUUCAUCGUCGCUUUCAUUCUUCUCUCCUCUUCUCCCUGUAAACCCUAACCGAAAACUUCAUCGCCGCUUUCAUUCUUCUCUCCUCUUCUCCCUGUAAACCCUAACCGAAAGAGGUAACAUAGUUGGAUUCAAGCGAUGGUGGUUUGAUAUGCCGAACAUGAUGGUGCUUUAGGGUUUAGAAGACACUGAUGCUUUCUGAUUGUCCUCUUUUCUAUUUCCUUGCGAGUUUCAGGAAAGAGUAUUGAUCCGGUAAAGUUCUUUUAAUGUUCUGUUGUAGAUUAUAUUGUUGAUUUGCUGUAAAAAUUGAAUCGAUCGGUAUUUUCUCAAUCCAUCUUGAUGUAUGUGACAACAUGUAAUUCAAUUAUCAAUUUAGAUUAGGGUUUGUUUUGGUUCAUAUUUUUUAGAUUAGGAUUGGUUAUUCAGAUUUUUAACAUUACUGCUUACAAAUGAUGUUCAACUCUUUUAGAGAAAGCAUAUUAUGGUUCCCCUAUUACUAAUCAAUGAUUUUUAGAUCCCCUAUUGCUUUUUUUUGUUCAUUGAUGCAGUUUGUAUAUAACUAUAUAAGGCUAUUGCUGUUCCUAUCGAAUUGCAUCAAUUGCAUCAGGCGGACAAACAUACCAAGCUUGCCUGAGAAGAAAGAGCACAUCUAAUUUCUCUCACGAAUGUAUUCAUCCGCGAUCGAACUAAUUGAACUAUAGUAAAUAAAUUGAGUGCAGGUUUUUUUAUUUUUGAUUUUAUUUUUAUUUGACGUGUUCAAAAAGUUCGUGUGAAAUAAACUAUGUAUUCGUCGAGAGGGAGUAAUGCGUAUAGACAGCAACAGCAAGAGUCAAACUCACUUUCAUACUCUGGUCAAAAUGUAAGGUUAAUAUUUAUUGCUUUUGUUAUGCUGUAUAUAUUUGCUUUUGUUAUGCUGUCGUACUCUCAUAUAUGAACUAAGAAGAAAGAAAAUAAAAUAUUUUAAAAACCAGUUUGUGGUUUUAAGUAGUAACCUUUAAUGUUUUCAUUUGUUAACGUAAAAUUCAGAAGUUAUGUUAUGUUUUGCUAUUUGGAUUGAAAACAUGUGAUGAUGGAACUGGUUCGAAAACUUCUCUGGUCGGGAGUUCGAGAAGGUUGUUCUUAUUCUUUUUGAGAAAAGGAUUCUCUACUGGCUUCAUAAUAUGGCCUUUAUCAACGGUGUAUGAAGUUGAGUAUGGUAUUUAUAACGAUGCAUUAAGGUACGCGUUGUAAUCUUUGUUCUGUUUUUUUUUUUAUAUUUCAGCACAUUUGGGGUUUCGAGUUUCAUUAUUAUGCUUUAACACAAUAGAUAUGUGGCCUGAUGGUUGCGUCUUGGCACAAGGUUAGUUAACAAUCAAUAAAUUUUUUUAUGAAAUUAUAUUUAUCAUUUGGUUUCCAUGAGUAAUACCCAGACUUAUUCCGUUUUAACCCGUUUUUAUUUAGUAUAUUAAGAUGAAAUAUAAAUAAUUGUAUGUCUUAUGUUGCACCAGCGGAUUACAAUACCCGUUCUCAACAACAUAUGGGCAACUCCAACCAAGUCAUUUUAUAUGAUUUGAUUCGGAGCUCUACAAGUAGCCGAUGCAGAAGACGAGAGGGACCUAAGCGCUGCAUGUCAUUCCUCUCUUUUCAUCUCCAAGAACUCCUACUCGAGCAGUAACAGCGGGUAGGGAAAUACCAGGAUGAAGUGCCAUAUCUAAGGAUAAUGAUCCAAUGAUAUAGUAUGAAGUCGCAUAUCUAAGGAUAAAGAUCGAAUAGGAUGAACAUCGCAUGGUAGCGAUGAACAAUAAAAACCCAAUUGCAGAUCUAUCCAAGGUCAAGAAUGCAUCGGAAGAACUUUUGCAGUGGCAUGCAAGCUAAAAAUGACAAAACUAAUCCUAAAAUCAUACAUGCAGAUGAAGAGAUGUGCAACUAUAGUCAUACAUACAGUUUGGUCAUUUUUAACCUCAGAGACCUACCCGAUCAUUGCAAUUUAUCGUGGAAGAUUGCCCAUGAAUAAAGGUAGUGAGAGGUUGUUGUGCUAUAUAGAUGCGGGAAUCCUACGACAUCAAGAAAUUAAGUGAUUCCAAACAGAUGUUAAAAGUGUAGUGGUUUCAUCAAAAACCCGGCGGUCCAUUUAAAUCGAUUGGACGGAUGAUACAAGUUCAUAUCAUUAUAUUGGUGUUCCGACGUGUUGGACAGGUUUCCAAGAGGAUAAAUCUCAAAGACUAACAUAAGGUAACUCAAGAAGCUUGGAAUUAAAAAGAAAGCCCUUUAAGUAGCGACAAGAACCGCGUACGGUCAAACAAUCGUAUUCUUCUGUUGUGGAAAGUGCUGGUAUAUUUCAUGAAUUGUAAUAUAUAUUAUAAAUAUGAGUGGUCAAAAGGGAAGAGCUAGGAGAAUCGUGAGUUAUUUAGUCAAUUUUUCAAAGCGGGUUCUAUAAUUUUUAGAUCUUCAUUACUAAAUAUUUAUAAUUUGUAGAUGUGUGUAGUACCCUCGAAUGAUAUUUGGAAUAACUAAGCAUAGUAAGUAGGGGUUAAGUUUUUCUUUUGUAUCUUUUUGUAAGAUUAGAUUGGCUAAAUAGAGAUUAACGGUCAUCUAUAUCUAUAUAUUAAUAAAUGAGAUGAUUUGGACCAUGUGGCAUGUGAUGGUGGAGCAAUUUUGCUUAUGUGGCAUGUUAUGGUGGAUUAGAGGGUGACUUUGAGAGGGAAUCUAUCUCAAUUCUCAACAAACCAAAUCAGAAGCUGGACGCGGGAUCCGGAAACAACUGGGUCGGACUUUGGGUCAAAACGAAUAAGGGCAAAAUGGAGUUGGCCAAGGAAAAAAGUAACAAAAGAAAUCCACAUUUAGCUUAUAAUUACUUUUUAUAACUAAUCUUUUCUUUUUAGUUUUGUUACAUAUAUUAUGUUUGAUGUAUGUGCAAUAGGAUAAAAUGAAAAAGACUUUCAUCGUCGUUUCUUUACGUUGACCCAUAUUUAGUCAUAACAACUAAUGAGGGAAUGAUCCUUGGAUUUGUGCUUUCUGCUGAUAUCAGAUACAUUUCUUUAAGGGGCAUUAGUUUCUUACGUGGAAAUCAUAGGUUUGGGUUUAGUCUAAAAAAGUUUGGGUCACUUUUGGACCGAACACGCAUACACGUUUAGCUGCUUGGGGUGGCCUUUCGUAAAAAGUAUCACUUUGCUUUGGCCAAAGAGCCUACAAACAAAACGAAGACAAUCUUGGUGUAAAGGAAGGUCUUUUAAUUCCAAAAGUUGAGAAUUUGUUUUGGGUUUAGUCUGAACAAGUUUGAGGUUUUCGUUUUUUAUUUGUUUUUUACAUUGUUUGACGUAAAACGUUUGACUUUUGGUUUAGAUGUUUUACUUUAGUAUUGCUUAACAGGUUAUGACUUUAUUAUUUGUUCAUUUAAAUACGAUUUGUUUUAUGCUUCCAGAUUUGAAGAGAUCGAUUUGUUUGUUGUUUAAUAAUAACUUAC